GCUUGUCUCAAAGAUUAAGCCAUGCAUGUCUAAGUACAAGCCUCACUAAGGUGAAACCGCGAAUGGCUCAUUAAAUCACACCUAAUAUACUGGACAGUCUCAGUUACUUGGUAUAACUGCGCUAAUUGUGGAGCUAAUACAUGCUUUUGAUCCCCGAACUUACGUGAGGGGUGCUUUUAUUAGAUCAAAACCAAACGUCCUCGGACGUCCCCCUGGUGAUUCUGAAUAACUUUUUGCCGAUCGCACGGCUUCACGCCGGCGACGUGUCCAUCUAAGGUGUGCCCUAUCAACUGUCGACUGUGGCAUAGACGCCCACAGUGGUUUUGACGGGUAACGGGGAAUCAGGGUUCGAUUCCGGAGAGGGAGCCUGAGAAACGGCUACCACUUCUAAGGAAGGCAGCAGG
rnacentral:rRNA from 1 species